rfam:Aspergillus bombycis strain NRRL26010 contig00111, whole genome shotgun sequence.
ACAUACGACCAUAGGGUGUGGAGAACAGGGCUUCCCGUCCGCUCAGCCGUACUUAAGCCACACGCCGGGAGGUUAGUAGUUGGGUGGGUGACCACCAGCGAAUUCCUCCUGUUGUAUGUU